UACGUAGGGGGGCUAGCGUUGUCCGGAAUCAUUGGGCGUAAAGCGCGUGUAGGCGGUCCGGUAAGUCCGCUGUGAAAGUCGGGGGGCUCAACCCUCGGAUGCCGGGUGGAUACUGUCGGGCUCGAGUACGGAAGAGGCGAGUGGAAUUCCUGGUGUAGCGGUGAAAUGCGCAGAUAUCAGGAGGAACACCAAUUGCGAAGGCAGCUCGCUGGGACGUUACUGACGCUGAGACGCGAAAGCGUGGGGAGCAAACAGG
rnacentral:rRNA from 1 species